ACGUUACUAUUUAUUGUACUGUUGAGAAGCAGGCUGUGCUCGUCUGACGCAGAUCACCUCUGUCCGGGCAGUUCACAAGGAGUCUUCAAGGGUUUAGUCUUAAUAUGGCGAAAGACGUCCCACGUGAGCCGGAGCAGCUCCGCAAGCUGUUCAUCGGAGGUUUGAGCUUCGAGACCACAGAUGAGAGUCUGCGGGCUCAUUUUGAACAAUGGGGGAGCCUUACAGAUUGUGUGGUCAUGAGGGACCCAAACAGCAAGAGAUCCAGGGGAUUCGGCUUUGUUACAUACUCAUCAGUAAAUGAAGUUGAUGCUGCCAUGUCUGCUCGCCCCCAUAAGGUCGACGGUAGGGUGGUAGAGCCUAAGCGAGCUGUUUCUAGGGAGGACUCAAACCGGCCGGGUGCCCAUGUAACGGUUAAAAAGAUCUUUGUUGGAGGCAUCAAGGAAGAUACAGAGGAGUCACACCUGCGAGAUUACUUCCAGCAGUUUGGCAAAAUUGAAGUCAUUGAUAUCAUGACUGACCGUAAUACCGGAAAGAAGAGGGGCUUUGCCUUUGUCACUUUUGAUGACCAUGAUUCAGUUGACAGGAUUGUCAUCCAGAAAUACCACACAAUCAACUCCCACAACUGUGAAGUGAGGAAGGCCCUGACAAGGCAGGAGAUGCAGAGUGCAGGAAUGGGUAUGAGGGGUCGUAGCAGUGGUGGAAGGCCCUAUGACUACGACAGAGGCUUCAAUCAGGGUGGCAGGGGUAGAUACGGAGAUGGUCCUUACAAUUGCAAUGGAGGUGAUGGUGGCUAUGGAGGUGGUCCUAGUGGUCCUGGGGGAUAUAAUAACGGUGGCAACCGUGGUUAUAACCAAGGUUACAACCAGGGUGGAGGAGGAGGCGGAGGCUAUGGAGGAAAUGGUUAUGACAGCAACGGUUAUGGCAACUGUGGUGGUGGCGGCGGAGGCGGCGGCAGCAACUACAAUAACAUGGGCCACUACGAUCCUCAGGCCUCUAACUUUGGCCCCAUGAAGAACAACUUUGGUGGGGGAGGCGGUGGUGGCGGCAGGAACUUUGGUGGUGGCUAUGGAGGUGGCUCAAACAACGGAUAUGGCCGUCCUGGACGAUUUUGAAAUGUGAAGCGGACUGAGUACUUAGGAGAGGAGAGCAAGGAGAGGAGAGCAAGCGAAGUGACAGGGCAGCUGCAGGUUUACCUCCUAAAUCUGCUCAGCCAAACAGUUGUGGCAGGUUACAGCUGCUGCAAGAAGAGAUGUACAGUAGAUAAAUCAUGGAGGGUCUUCAUUUAAACGUUUUAUUUUUCUUUGUUUUGUUUUUUUUCAUCAAAAUGUGUUUCUGGAAAGCAAGCAUUCCAAUGAGGUUUUAUGUAGAUUUUUUUCUUUAAGGUCUGGUUUUUAUUUGUAACUGCAUCAAAUCAAGCUGAAAUAAACCAUCUUUCAGUUUUUUUUAAAAAGUCUUGUUAGCCUCUUCAGUGAUUUGGGAAAGGGAGGGUUCACUAUUAGACACUGCACAAAGUGGGGGAGAGGGUCAUAUUUUACAUGUCAUGAGGUGUCUGGAAAAGCUCAUUUCCUUGAUGUGCAAGAAGCCCCACACUAGGCAUCACGUUCUCAUAAGUCAAUGCAUUUAAAAUACCAAUACAAUAGGGGGUGAGGAAUGACAAGUGCAAAUGCAGUCAUCAUAAAGAGCCCAUCACUUGGUAAAGACUCUACACUGAGUUCUGCAAAGAUCUUCUGGAGGAUGCUAGCUUACAUGCAAAGUCUUUGAGGCUAGCCAUGGAAGCCAGCUGAGGGAGAGAAGUAGCAAAACCAUCGCCAGGAUCAUUGAAGCAGGGGAGAGUGAGAACAGAAGCCUGAGGCUAGCAGGCAGCAGCUACCAAAAGGCUUAAAUGCUGUCUGUAGGUAAGACCAGACUUCUCAACUACUGAUAGUAUAUCUUGAUUUUUGUCAUGUAGCUGGUAGAAAGUUGUGUAGCCCAAUAAUGACGUAACAUUUUUUUUUUCUUUUUUUUGUGCAAACAAGUUUUUAUUAUGACAUUACACCAUUGACUGGUAAAAUUGGCCUCUUAAUUGUGCAUAGAGGUCCUACAACAAAUUGCAUGCUGUUUAAUAGAACAGUUCUUUUGAAAGAUUGCCUGUUACUUAUUUGGUAUUUCUGCUUUCUAGGUAACUCUACACAUGGACUCCAAAACCUGAUCUCAUUUCAGUGACAAUGGCUCAAUCAGGUUUACUUGAACAAUGAUGCAGGUGCAGAAGACUUAUCUUUUUUUAACUUGUUUUUUACUUUUUUAAAUAAAAUAUUUUUAUACAAAG